GAUGAACGCUGGCGGCGUGCCUAAUACAUGCAAGUCGAGCGAACGGACGAGAAGCUUGCUUCUCUGAUGUUAGCGGCGGACGGGUGAGUAACACGUGGAUAACCUACCUAUAAGACUGGGAUAACUUCGGGAAACCGGAGCUAAUACCGGAUAAUAUUUUGAACCGCAUGGUUCAAAAGUGAAAGACGGUCUUGCUGUCACUUAUAGAUGGAUCCGCGCUGCAUUAGCUAGUUGGUAAGGUAACGGCUUACCAAGGCAACGAUGCAUAGCCGACCUGAGAGGGUGAUCGGCCACACUGGAACUAAGACACGGUCCAGACUCCUACGGGAGGCAGCAGUAGGGAAUCUUCCGCAAUGGGCGAAAGCCUGACGGAGCAACGCCGCGUGAGUGAUGAAGGUCUUCGGAUCGUAAAACUCUGUUAUUAGGGAAAAACAUAUGUGUAAGUAACUGUGCACAUCUUGACGGUACCUAAUCAGAAAGCCACGGCUAACUACGUG
rnacentral:rRNA from 1 species